UUUUGGUUUUACUGUCUCUGAUUUUCAGACGGGGAUUCCUCUUCUCAGAUGUAAUAGUCGUGGCGACCUAUAUCCAGUCACCCCUCCCAACAAUUUUGUCGAUCUUACGUCCAGUCUAUGGCACGAUCGUCUUGGUCAUCCUGGCGUGUCUGUUUUAAAUUCCCUACGCAAGAAUAAAUUCAUAUGUUGUGAAACUUCUCAUAAUUCUGUCAUCUAUGACUCGUGUGUUUUAGGCAAACAAGUUAAAUUGCCAUUUUUUAAUUCUCAAACUGCUACUCUCAUGCCUUUUGAUAUUUUACAUAGUGACUUGUGGACUUCUCCUGUUUUAAGUUCUGCUGGCCAUAAAUAUUAUGUUUUAUUUUUAGACGACUUCACAAAUUUCUUGUGGACUUUUCCUAUUAGUAGAAAAUCUCAGGUUUUUGAAAUGUUCAAGUCACUUACUUCUCUUAUUCACACUCAAUUUUUGCAAAAUGUAAAAUCCUUCCAAUGUGACAAUGGCGGUGAAUAUAAUAAUGAGCUAUUUCAACAAUAUUGUAUUACUAAUGGCCUUAUUUUUCGCUUCUCUUGCCCUCACACAUCCUCCCAAAAUGGUAAAGCGGAACGAAAAAUAAGAACCAUUAAUAAUAUGAUUCGCACUAUGCUAGCUCACUCUUCUGUUCCCCCACAAUUUUGGCAUCAUGCACUUCACAUGGCAACUUAUUUGCUAAAUAUUCUUCCCUGUAAAACACUUCAAAAUCAAUCACCAACACAGCUCCUUUACCACCGUGAUCCCAGCUACACACAUUUACGAGUCUUUGGUUGUUUGUGUUAUCCAUUACUCCCAUCACCUACCAUUCAUAAAUUACAACCCCGUUCUACUCCGUGUGUCUUCUUAGGUUAUCCCCUGAAUCAUAGAGGUUACAAGUGUUUUGAUUUGUCUAACAGAAAGUUAAUAAUUUCGAGGCAUGUUAUCUUUGAUGAAACUCAAUUUCCCUUCACCAAAGUACACUACCCUUCCCCUCACUCCUAUGACUUUCUAGACAAUGACCUACACCCCUACCUCAUACAACAGUGGCAAACUCAACAUCCACCACCGGAUACUCCUAACCAACAACCAGCAACAACCACAAUGGCCAAACCAAUCGACCCAACUCCACUAAAUUCACAUACUACAAUCUCCCCUACCUUAACCUCACCAAUUCAACCACAUCCUCCACCACCUACCCGCACCAUCAUCACCCGUAGCAUGAAUGGUAUUACUAAACCCCGCACAAUGUUUAACUUAUCCCUUUCACACUCAAACCACACCAUCUCUCCCAUACCUAAAAAUCACAAACUAGCCUUAUCGUACCCGAAUUGGAAAUCCGCAAUGCAAUCUGAGUUUGAUGCACUUAUUAGAAAUAAGACGUGGGAUUUAGUUCCUCGCCCUAGAGAUGCUAAUCUUAUUCGAUGUAUGUGGAUUUUUAAACAUAAGAAAAAUUUUGAUGGGUCUUUUGAUCGCUAUAAGGCUCGCCUUGUUUGUGAUGGCAGGUCACAGGUUGCAGGUGUGGAUUGUGAUGAGACUUUCAGCCCGGUGGUAAAACCCGCUACCAUUCGAACAGUACUCACCAUUGCUCUCUCUCACUCAUGGCCCAUUCAUCAGCUGGAUGUUCAGAAUGCUUUUUUUGCAUGGUGAUCUUCACGAAACUGUCUACAUGCAUCAACCAUUGGGUUUUCGCGACUCUUGUCAUCCGGAUUACGUUUGUCGUUUGAAGAAGUCGCUUUAUGGUCUCAAGCAAGUGCCUCGAGCAUGGUACCAACGCUUUGCUGACUAUGUAACUACCAUUGGUUUUCGACAUAGCACAUCAGAUCAUUCUCUCUUCAUAUACCGACAGCAAUCCGACAUGGCCUACAUUCUGCUGUGGACGACAUCAUCCUUAUUACUUCCACUCAUGCCCUUCGCCAAUCCAUUAUGUCCCUCUUGGCAUCCGAGUUUGCAAUGAAGGAUUUGGGUCCUCUGAGCUAUUUUUUGGGUAUUGCCGUCUCUCGUCAUCCUGGUGGUCUCUUUCUCAGUCAAAGCACCUAUGCCUCUGAAAUCAUUGACCGUGCUGGGAUGCAAUCUUGCAAAUCAUCUGUCACCCCUGUUGACACUAAACAAAAACUCAGCACUUCAUCAGGCACACCUUAUGAAGAUCCAUCUCUCUAUCGUAGUCUUGCAGGAGCUUUACAAUACCUCACAUUCACUAGACCCGACAUCUCUUACGCUGUUUAGCAAGUUUGUCUUCACAUGCAUGCACCUAGUACAGAACACAUGCUUGCUCUAAAUCUCAUUCUUCGUUAUGUUCAGGGUACCGUACAUUUUGGACUACAUUUAUCACCAUCUCCCAUCACCAAACUCCUUUCCUACACUGACUCCGAUUGGGGUGGAUGUCCUGACACCCGACGUUCCACUUCUGGAUACUGUGUCUUUCUCGGUGACAACCUCAUCGCUUGGUCCUCCAAGAGACAACCCACUCUCUCUCGGUCUAGUGCUGAAGCGGAAUAUAGAGGUGUUGCUAAUGUUGUGUCUGAGUCAUGUUGGCUUCGUAAUCUCUUACUGGAGCUCCACUUUCCUAUUCCUCAGGCUACUUUGGUGUAUUGUGACAAUGUUAGUGCCAUCUACCUAUCUGGCAACCCUGUGCAGCAUCAACGUACCAAACACAUUGAAAUGGACAUACACUUUGUACGGGAAAAAGUAGCUCGUGGUCAGGCACGCGUCCUCCAUGUUCCAUCUCGACAUCAGAUUGCAGAUAUCUUCACCAAAGGGCUUCCUCGCAUUCUCUUUGAUGAUUUUCGGACCAGUCUCAGCGUCCGUGAACCUCCCGCUUCGACUGUGGGGGUCUGAUAGAAUAUUAUAUUUAAUAAAAUUAAUAGAAUAGAAUAUUCGGUCAUUAUUGGCUAUUAUUAGUUCCCUGUAAAUAGGCUGUAUCAUAAUUNUCGGUCAUUAUUGGCUAUUAUUAGUUCCCUGUAAAUAGGCUGUAUCAUAAUUAGUAAGUUGAUCAGACGUUACACAACAGUUGUAUAUAUUCUAUUUAGAUCAAUGAGAAAGGCAAGCAUUUUGUUAUCUUACAUGGUAUCACUCCUAACCGAUCCCUCUCUCUAAAUAUAUAUAUAUAUAAAAAAAAAAAAAAAAAGAGAGAAAGAAAGAAAAACAGAAGUCGUAGAACUCUGUUCUCCUUCUUCUCACGCACGCGCAGCGCCGCCGCACCCCUCCCUCUUACCUUGCGCCGCCGCCGCCUCUGUUGCCCUGUAAUCCGAUCGACCUCCGAUCCUUGACCAGCAGUGCUCGUGCGUCACUUCCUCCACUUCGACCGUGCCCACCGCGCCGUCGUCGCCCCCUUUCUCAAUCUGGUUGUGUUUCACCUCCGAUCACCUCCGUUUCUCUUCUUUCCGUGCUGUUCUACCUUAACCAUCACUCAUCAUGUCCGAUUCCGACCUCAAUGAUGACCAGAGCAGCGCCGCCGCUGCCUCUGCCUCCGCUGCUGCCGCUGCCUCCGCCGCUGUCAAUUCGACCAUUUUCAAAAAUGGCUUUCAUCCCGCUCUUGCUGUCUCCAAUAUUAGGAAUCACAUUCCUAUUAUUCUUGAGAUGGAAAAGGACCAAUAUGGAACUUGGGCGGAACUCUUCUGCAUUCAUGCUCGUUCUCAUCGAGUAUUGCAUCACAUUGUUCCCUCUGCAGACAAAACACCGCCACUACCUGCAAACGUCGAAUAUGAGCAAUGGACUACUCUAGAUGCCACCGUGCUUCAGUGGAUUUAUUCCACAAUUUCCACUUACUUACUGAUGACUAUUUUGGAACCAAACUCCACUGCGGUAGCCGCAUGGAAUCGUUUGGCAGACAUCUUUCAAGACAAUCAAAACGCCCGUGCUGUCACUCUCGAGCAAGAGUUCUCCAACACCCGCAUGGAAGACUUUCCCAACGUCUCUGCAUACUGCCAGUGUCUCAAGAUGCUCUCUGACCAAUUGAGGAAUGUCGGCUCUCCCGUCAACAAUCACCGUCUGGUACUCCAACUGAUAUCUGGACUCCCUGAAGCUUAUCGUAGUGUGGCCACCCUGAUUCGCCAGAGUAAUCCUCUUCCUGCAUUUUAUCAGGCUCGCUCCAUGCUCACCUUGGAAGAAUCUGGCAUGGCUAAAAUGGCUAACACCGGCUCUCCUGCUGCCUUACACACCACUCAGCAGUGACCUCCUGAGGACACCUCUCAACGUGGCAACCGUCGUCCCAACAACCACAACAACCGGUCUCGUUCUCGUGGCAAUCAGGGUCGCGGAGGGGGGCGUGGUAACCGUAGCAGACCUCAAUCCGGAGCUCCCAACACCUCCCCAUCCUGGUCUUCUCCUCCUUGGGCGCAGCAACAACAAUACCCUGCCUGGCAAUCAUGGGGUUGGAUCCCACCACCAUGGGCCAUACCUCCGUGUCCGUAUCCCACAUCUCAGUGGACACACCCUACUGGCCCUACCGCUCCUCCGAGACAGCCGGGCAUCCUAGGACAGCGUCCUCAGGCGUAUGCAGCUUCUACUUCAUCUCCUACACCAAUUGACAUUGAGGCAGCUAUGCACACCAUGUCUCUACAUCCUCCUGAUACUCAGUGGUACAUGGAUACCGGCGCAACAUCUCACACGACAUCAUCACGAGGUAAUCUCUCGUCUUAUUCUCCUAUAAGUCAUUUAAAUCAGAAAAUUAUUGUUGGCAGUGGCCAUGGAAUUCCAAUUCACGGCACCGUACACACACAACUCACAACCUCUAACCAACCCAUUCACUUAAAACAUGUCCUUCAUGCCCCGAAAAUUAUUAAAAAUUUAAUCUCUGUAAGACAACUCACCACUGACAACAAUGUAUCUGUUUCUUUUGACCCCUUUGGUUUUACUGUCUCUGAUUUUCAGACGGGGAUUCCUCUUCUCAGAUGUAAUAGUCGUGGCGACCUAUAUCCAGUCACCCCUCCCAACAAUUUUGUCGGUCUUACGUCCAGUCUAUGGCACGAUCGUCUUGGUCAUCCUGGCGUGUCUGUUUUAAAUUCCCUACGCAAGAAUAAAUUCAUAUGUUGUGAAACUUCUCAUAAUUCUGUCAUCUGUGACUCGUGUGUUUUAGGCAAACAAGUUAAAUUGCCAUUUUUUAAUUCUCAAACUGCUACUCUCAUACCUUUUGAUAUUUUACAUAGUGACUUGUGGACUUCUCCUGUUUUAAGUUCUGCUGGCCAUAAAUAUUAUGUUCUAUUUUUAGACGACUUCACAAAUUUCUUGUGGACCUUUCCUAUUAGUAGAAAAU
rnacentral:lncRNA from 1 species